rnacentral:rRNA from 1 species
AAAAACAUGGCCUUUUGUUUAAAUAUAAGGUCUAACCUGCCCAAUGAUUGAUUUGAUUUAAUGGCCGCGGUAUAUUAACUGUGCUAAGGUAGCAUAAUCAUUUGUCUUUUAAUUGAAGGCUAGAAUGAAUGGUUGGACGAGACAUAAGCUUUCUUUAAUUUAAUUAAUGAACUUAAUUUUUUAGUUAAAAAGCUAAAAUUUAUUUGAGGGACGAGAAGACCCUAUAGAUCUUUAUAUUUUUAAGUUUUAUUUAUUAUAGUUAAUAAAUUAUUUUAAGAUUUAAUUUUAUUAAGUUGGGGUGACUUUAGAAUUAAAUUAACUUCUAUAAUAUUUUUCAUUAAUUAGUGUAAUUUUGAUCCAAAAAUUUUGAUUAUAAGAUUAAGUUACCUUAGGGAUAACAGCGUAAUUUCUUCGGAGAGCUCUAAUCGAUGAAGGAGUUUGCGACCUCGAUGUUGGAUUAAAAUAAGUUUUGGGUGUAGGAGUUCAAAAACUAGGUCUGUUCGACCUUUAAUUUUUUACAUGAUCUGAGU